GUAGGUGGCAAGCGUUAUCCGGAAUUAUUGGGCGUAAAGCGCGCGUAGGCGGUUUUUUAAGUCUGAUGUGAAAGCCCACGGCUCAACCGUGGAGGGUCAUUGGAAACUGGAAAACUUGAGUGCAGAAGAGGAAAGUGGAAUUCCAUGUGUAGCGGUGAAAUGCGCAGAGAUAUGGAGGAACACCAGUGGCGAAGGCGACUUUCUGGUCUGUAACUGACGCUGAUGUGCGAAAGCGUGGGGGGAUCAAACAGGAUUAGAUACCCUGGUAGUCCACGCCGUAAACGAUGAGUGCUAAGUGUUAGGGGGUUUCCGCCCCUUAGUGCUGCAGCUAACGCAUUAAGCACUCCGCCUGGGAGUACGACCGCAAGGUUG
rnacentral:rRNA from 1 species